rnacentral:lncRNA from 1 species
GGAGAGGAUGAGAGGAUGGUAUUGGUUGGGAAGAGAGCAGGCAUCGUGCUGAAAAGGAAGAGGAAGGGGAGGGAAGCAUUGUCUCAGCAGGAGAAUGUUAUUCUCCAGCCCUUACCGCUCCACAGAUUCCAGUGACAGAUGGAUCUCUCUCAUGCACACUUGCUCUUUCCUUCUCUGUAUUUUUGUUUUCGACAUGUUUGAUCCUAAGCUCUGAAGCUUCUCAGAGAGAACCCAGGAAAGAAGGAAGAGAAGGAGUAGAAACCAAGGGAGCGUGAGCGACACGGGAGGCAGCCCUGCCUUGUUCUUCCAAAUCACACUGUGGAGGGGCGGGGGAAGACUAGAGGGGGAGGACUUGGGUUUGUUUUGGGGUGGGUUUGGUGUGGGUGGGGGGUGGGUGGGAGGGGAGAAAAGGGGAAAAAGUGUGUGAGUCGCUCAUGAGCAUCAAAGAAGAUUCAUUAUCCUCGGCCUGAAUUUUUGUUUAGAAAAGAAGCACAAGGUAGUUCCCUUCCGGACCAAACAUCCAUGGUCAUAGCUUUGGGUGUUCUGGAAGAAUAUUGCAUGUGUUCCCCUUCCUCUAUGCUCCUGGAUUGACCCAGAGGGCAAGAAGAAAUAAUGGUGAUGACAUCUCAUAGGACUGGGGUGCUCAUUCCCAUCCAUUGUUAAACCCCCGUUUUUGCCCCCUACUUUCUUUUUGCCGUUGUUCUGAGAUUUGGCGUUGGUUUUUGUUGGGG